AGCACCACUAUGCCUUCCUCACACCCAGCGCUGUGUGUGCACAAAAGGAUGUGCCACACAUGAGAGAAAAAGAUACACUUUGGGGGAAAAGAACAGGAUGGAAAUGCUUCGUAAGCACAGAGGCAAUGGCAGCUGCCUUAACACCCAGUCCAUUAGCGCAACUUGAAAAGAGGAAGGAAGAAGAAUUAGUGGACGAAGCCUGAGACCUGCAAACCGUUUGUGAAUUGCUGCCUUGGCUACAUCCCAACUGGGAGACUGCCAGAAAUACAGGACACUGAAUUACAGAAUGCAGUGAAGUAAACCAGGAAAAUGAGAUGGUGUCAGAAAAGAGGAACGGGGUCCAAGAUGGACAAAGAAACUGGAAACCAAACACUCCUGUGCAAGGUGAUGUUGAAGGACAAGAAACCAAAACUCAGCAGUACAGCACCGUCCCAAGUUCAAUCUUCCCUUAAAAGGACCUCAGAAAACAAGGCCCGGAGAAUCACUGUCAGGCAGGAUUUGAGGGCUAGAUGUACAAAUAGUUUGACCUGGAACAUGGCAACUUCCCAAGUUUCCCUAAUCUUAAGAAUUUAAGACAGAUUGGGUUUCAGCCUAUGCCAAAAACUGUAAAUGUGGAAUUCUCCAGUAUAGCGUAUCCUGGGGUUUCUGCGAAAUCAGUCAAGUUGGAACAGGUUCUCUCCUUGAGAGGAUAUUCUUUUGCCUGGGAAACAGCCAGCAGAGCUCUGGUAAACUGGGCAUAUGGCAUCUUUACAUUCAGUUUUAUUCCAAAGAUACUAGCUGCAAACCACAAAGCUAUUACCAAGCUAGGGUCCUCAGGUGCUGUUGGAAUACAGCUUCUAAAUGGUAGGCAGCCAUGGUCCUGGUGGAGAGGUGCACUAAGGGUGACUUUUUAAAUUUUUGUAUUGUGUUAUUUUAUUAUAUGAUUUUCCUAUUGUAUCCUUUUAAAAAUAAUAACAAUA